GCGUUAAACAUAAAACACACAAUUAGUCAAUACUGAUUAACGUAGAGUUUGAUAUGGAGUUGACCAUAGUGUUGUGUCUGUUUGGUUUACAAUGAUCUGCUAGAGAUCUCUAGUAGGC